GACGAACCGUGCGAACGUUGUUCGGAAUUACUGGGCGUAAAGCGUGUGUAGGCGGCCUUAUAAGUCGGAUGUGAAAGCCCAGGGCUCAACCCUGGAAGUGCACUCGAUACUGUAAGGCUCGAGUACUGGAGAGGUUGGUGGAAUUCUCGGUGUAGAGGUGAAAUUCGUAGAUAUCGAGAGGAACACCGGUGGCGAAGGCGGCCAACUGGACAGAUACUGACGCUGAGACACGAAAGCGUGGGGAGCAAACAGG
rnacentral:rRNA from 1 species